GGCUUGUUUCAGACAAGAAGCUAUGUAACGCAGCUCCCUUUGCAGAGUAUUGUGGUCCUCACAUUUUACUGCAUUCAAUAAAUCAGGAAUUACCUUAAAAAAAUAAAAGAACCUUGGACAGUACUGGACUUGUAAGAGAUGCUGUACCUAUAUGUACCAAUUGCCUGCUUUGGUACUAUAGGCUUAUAUUUUUCCCGUUGCUGUAUCUGGAUCAGCAAGAGGCAAAAAAGGAAACCUGGACCCUCCUUCUCCGCACAGACAUGCUGAUUCAACAACAUGGACCAAUUUCUUUUGUUAGAAAUCCAGAAACCUGUUGAAAGGCUCUUGCCACUGAGAUGAUAGGGACAAAAGCCAAAAUGAAUAAAAUGACACCUUACUCAUAAUCUCUUCCCCCUACUCCGUGCCACGGCAAUCAAGAGAAAAACCAGAACUCCCAGCUUCUCCCUAAGAAGGGAAGGAGAGGACUGGGUCAUAUGUCCAAAGUUAAGACUAUUUAGGGGGCUGCCCAAGGUACCAAUUACUGUACUGAGUACGAGCACUGAUUGGAAAAGGGCCCAGGUCUGGGAACCCUGAGAAUAUAGUCCGCAGUUUGAACUAGCACGCUCUAUUAGCCAAAGUGCUUCCCCUGGUUCAGCACUGAGCAAGCGAGAACACCCACAUCCUUCCUUCUCCCUGGAAAGAGUCGAAGCAUGCAAGAGGGAAAGAGAAAAAUAAAACAUAUAUCUAACAUUCAGACUUUUCAGGGAACUCCCCAAGGGACUGGUUUUUGUCUUGCCUGUCUCUAAGUACGGACAGGAUAUAGUACACUCUGGGUGCCUUGGGACCAGCAUAUGCUGCUUCUUCACAGGAACUACAAGAUAACAGACACCAGAGGGAGCAAGAUAUCAUAAACUCUUGAAAAAAUAAACCAACAAAUUCUUAUAAUUAUGAAUUUACAUAGGCAAGUUUGGAGAAAAAACACAUCCACCAAAAACUUUUGAGAGGCCCACCAGAAUCUCUAGCUAGGGUAAUUGGUGAAGGUCUUCCCAUAUAUGAAGCCAGUCCAGAGAAACUAAGAAAAAGCGCUGUUUUUUCAAAUAUGCAGAUACCCACACUGUUGAGGGCAUUAAACACACACACACACAUACACAGGAAACAAAAGAAAACACCAAAAGAAAAAGGGGUUUCAUUACCUAAUAAAGAAUUCAAAUUAUGAUCAUAAAGAUAAUUAGUAAGUUCCGGAAAACAAUUUAUGAAUAAGUUAGAAAUUUCCAAAUAAAGAUAGAAAAAAAUACAGAAAUUUUGGAGCUGAAAAAUAAAAUAGCCAGACUGAAUAAUUCACUAGAAAAGUGUAAUAAUAGACUUUACCAACUAGAAGAGAGAGUCAGCAAACUUGAAGACAGGAAGAACAUUUGAAAUUAUCCUAUCACAGAAGCAAAAACAAAAAAAGAAUGAAAAGGUGUGAAGAAAGCCUAAGGGACUUCUGUGUCUUCAUCAAAUAAAUCAAUACAUGCACUAUGGGAGUCCUAAGAGGGAAGAGAGAGACAGAAGGGACAAGAGAGCUUAUUGAGAAAAAUAAUGACCAAUGCCUUUUCUCUAUUAAGAUGGUCGAUCAUGUGUUGUAUUUCUUUCAUUUUGUUAAUGUGUUGUAUAACAUCAAUUAAUUUGCAUACAUUGAAACAUCUUUGUUCGAAGGAGUAAGUUCCACUCAGACAUGGUGUAUAAUCCUUUUAAUGUGCUGAUGAAUUCAAUUUACUACCAUUUUAUUAAAGACUUUUUCAUUUAUAUUCA